CCUACGGGUGACUGCAGUGAGGAAUAUUGGUCAAUGGGCGGAAGCCUGAACCAGCCAAGUCGCGUGAGGGAAUAAGGCCCUACGGGUCGUAAACCUCUUUUGCCGGGGAGCAAGUUCGGGGACGUGUCCCGGCCCGGAGAGUACCCGGAGACAAAGCAUCGGCAAACUCCGUGCCAGCAGCCGCGGUAAUACGGGGGAUGCGAGCGUUAUCCGGAUCUAUUGGGUUAAAAGGGUGCGUAGGCGGGCUUUUAAGUCAGCGGUAAAAAUUCGGGGCUCAACCCCGUCCGGCCGUUGAAACUGGGGGCCUUGAGUGAGCGAGAAGAAGGCGGAACGCGUGGUGUAGCAGUGAAAUGCAUAGAUAUCACGCAGAACCCCGAUUGCGAAGGCAGCCUUCCGGAGCCCUACUGACGCUGAGGCACGAAAGUGCGGGGAUCGAACGGGAUUAGAUACCCCUGUAGUC
rnacentral:rRNA from 1 species